rnacentral:rRNA from 1 species
UACGUAGGGGGCAAGCGUUGUCCGGAUUUAUUGGGCGUAAAGGGUGCGUAGGCGGCGCGGUAAGUCGGGUGUGAAAUUUCGAGGCUUAACUUCGAAACUGCAUUCGAUACUGCCGUGCUUGAGGACUGGAGAGGAGACUGGAAUUUACGGUGUAGCGGUGAAAUGCGUAGAUAUCGUAAGGAAGACCAGUGGCGAAGGCGGGGUCC